GUGGGGAAUCUUGCGCAAUGGGCGAAAGCCUGACGCAGCCAUGCCGCGUGAAUGAUGAAGGUCUUAGGAUUGUAAAAUUCUUUCACCGGGGACGAUAAUGACGGAACCCGGAGAAGAAGCCCCGGCUAACUUCGUGCCAGCAGCCGCGGUAAUACGAAGGGGGCUAGCGUUGCUCGGAAUUACUGGGCGUAAAGGGCGCGUAGGCGGACAGUUUAGUCAGAGGUGAAAGCCCAGGGCUCAACCUUGGAAUUGCCUUUGAUACUGGCUGUCUUGAGUACGGGAGAGGUGAGUGGAACUCCGAGUGUAGAGGUGAAAUUCGUAGAUAUUCGGAAGAACACCAGUGGCGAAGGCGACUCACUGGCCCGUUACUGACGCUGAGGCGCGAAAGCGUGGGGAGCAAACAGGAUUAGAAACCCGGUAGUCC
rnacentral:rRNA from 1 species